rnacentral:tRNA from 1 species
GGAGGUAUAGCUCAGAGGUACAGCGCGUGCUUAGUACGCACAAGACCGAGGGUUCGAUCCCCAGUACACCCA